AUUGAACGCUGGCGGCAGGCCUAACACAUGCAAGUCGAGCGGAUGAAGAGAGCUUGCUCUCUGAUUUAGCGGCGGACGGGUGAGUAAUGCCUAGGAAUCUGCCUGGUAGUGGGGGAUAACGUCCGGAAACGGGCGCUAAUACCGCAUACGUCCUACGGGAGAAAGCAGUGGACCUUCGGGCCUUGCGCUAUCAGAUGAGCCUAGGUCGGAUUAGCUAGUUGGUGAGGUAAUGGCUCACCAAGGCUACGAUCCGUAACUGGUCUGAGAGGAUGAGCAGUCACACUGGAACUCAGACACGGUCCAGACUCCUACGGGAGGCAGCAGUGGGGAAUAUUGGACAUUGGGCGAAAGCCUGAUCAGCCAUGCCGCGUGUGUGAAGAAGGUCUUCGGAUUGUAAAGCACUUUAAGUUGGGAGGAAGGGCAGUAAGUUAAUACCUUGCUGUUUUGACGUUACCGACAGAAUAAGCACCGGCUAACUUCGUGCCAGCCGCCGCUGUAACAC
rnacentral:rRNA from 1 species